rnacentral:rRNA from 1 species
GUUCUUGUAGAGGAAUAAAAGUAGCAACAAACUGGGGUAGGGAACGAGCGGGGGCAAUGAUCAUACACCAUUCAAAAGAUUCUUGGUCCAAUUAGAGGAAGUAAAAGUCGUAACAAGGUCUCCGUUGGUGAACCAGCGGAGGGAUCAUUA